rnacentral:ncRNA from 1 species
GUAAACUCUAUGCCGGGGAGUAGUAGCAAGCCUCUUCCCUGAAGAGAGCCGGUGGCUGGUGGAAACCGGUGGGAAUGCUUUGCGAAUCCGCCCCCAAGAGGUACCGGCGAAAGUAAAGUAGCCGGUAACGGCCGAGCCGUUAACCAAACGAGGUGGGCAGAGUUAUUCUGCCAAGAAGGGUGGCACCGCGAAAGGACUCCUUUCGUCCCUUGA